rnacentral:rRNA from 1 species
CGGCCUUGACAUACUAAGAACUUUCCAGAGAUGGAUUGGUGCCUUCGGGAACUUAGAUACAGGUGCUGCAUGGCUGUCGUCAGCUCGUGUCGUGAGAGUGUUGGGUUAAGUCCCGNAACGAGCGCAACCCUUUUCCUUAUUUGCCAGCGGGUCAUGCCGGGAACUUUAAGGAUACUGCCAGUGACAAACUGGAGGAAGGCGGGGACGACGUCAAGUCAUCAUGGCCCUUACGGCCAGGGCUACACACGUGCUACAAUGGUCGGUACAAAGGGUUGCUACCUCGCGAGAGGAUGCUAAUCUCAAAAAGCCGAUCGUAGUCCGGAUCGCAGUCUGCAACUCGACUGCGUGAAGUCGGAAUCGCUAGUAAUCGCGGAUCAGAAUGCCGCGGUGAAUACGUUCCCGGGCCUUGUACACACCGCCCGUCACACCAUGGGAGUUUGUUGCACCAGAAGUAGGUAGUCUAACCGCAAGGAGGACGCUUACCACGGUGUGGCCGAUGACUGGGGUGAAGUCGUAACAAGGUAGGCGUAGAUGA